UUUGUAAGUGAUGAUGUGGGUCGCAAUUUUACUUACAGUACAUACUAUGCUGAGCUUAAGUAACCAUCUGUUUCAAA
rnacentral:sRNA from 1 species